CGUGUUAAUUGACCAUUACCUGUAGUUUUUGCGGUGUGUUGGAGUCGGUGCGGAGCCCGCCAUUUGUGGUGUUUAUAGGCUGUAAAAUCCUAUCCUAUCCUAAAAUUAAGAUAAAUUCCCUGAGUGCUAAAGUGUGUUGGUUCAAGCAAAUGGUGAGCGGUCUGUCUGCAGGUGGCUGGCUGGGCUUGGCGCUCUGUGAUGAUGUGUCUCCUGGAUUGACAGCAUCGGCGGGGCAGUUGGAGAUUGGCAAGCCGUGUUCCCGCCCCCUCCUACUCCGCCGUUUCCUCCCCUCGCCCCCAUCCACACCUCCUGCAUCUCCCGUUCCUCCUCCUGCGCCACCUUUCCAGCUCCUUCAUGCCGCUCCGACAUCCGGAUCUUCCUGGAUCGCGGCCAGGGUGGAGGGGGAGAGGAGGGUCCACCGCCUCCUUCCUGUCCGUAUGCAAAUUGGCCUUGUUUUGAUUAAAAGACAGCUGCAUAUUUCAUUAAAGUCACCAAUGGAGGUGGGAGAGGAGAAGGCAUGCCUCUCUGGGGAGGCGAAGGUUGUUUAGCUGGAGUGAAUGUUGUGGGAGCUGCUGUUUAGUGCUGCUGAGGGGAACAAAUAGCGAAGACAAAAGGGCUGCCCAGGGACUGCUUUGGGGUUUAAUGGGGCUGACUGACUGGCACAUCAGUUAAAGCUCACACUGAUGCAGAGCGCCAGUGAAUGUGCGUUGCAUGAUAACUGAAGCAAUUGACAAUGAAAUAUAGACCCCCGUCAGCCUUCAAGGUGCUCUGGCAUGCCAAGGCAGUUGUGUUGCGACCCACCGCUGCCAGGCUGCUGAGAAAAACAAACAGCAACUCCUGUUUGUGAGUAAUAAAAUGAGAAAUGGUUUCUCAUGUGGCCAUUUUUUACUUUAUGGCAAAUAGGCUGCUCCCUUGUGGGCUGGGUGAUGGAAUAAACAUUGCUUCACCGAUACAUUUUCACCUCUUUGGUGAAAUAAGUUGUUUCUCUUAAA